GACGAACCGUGCGAACGUUGUUCGGAAUUACUGGGCGUAAAGCGCGCGCAGGCGGUCUUCCAAGUCAGUGGUGAAAGCCCGGAGCUCAACUCCGGAACUGCCAUUGAAAACUGUUAGACUUGAGGACGAGAGAGGUGAGUGGAAUUCCCAGUGUAGAGGUGAAAUUCGUAGAUAUUGGGAAGAACACCGGUGGCGAAGGCGGCUCACUGGCUCGUUUCUGACGCUCAGGCGCGACAGCGUGGGGGAUCAAAACAGG
rnacentral:rRNA from 1 species